CUGCUGCCUUCCGUAGGAGUUUGGGCCGUGUCUCAGUCCCAAUGUGGCCGGCCACCCUCUCAGGUCGGCUACUGAUCGUCGCCUUGGUGGGCCUCUACCCCGCCAACUAGCUAAUCAGACGCGGAUCCAUCUCAUACCGCCUCAGCUUUUCACACCGAGACAUGCAUCUCUGUGCGCUUAUGCGGUAUUAGCAGUCAUUUCUAACUGUUAUCCCCCUGUACGAGGCAGGUUAUCCACG
rnacentral:rRNA from 1 species